UCUCUCAUAGUGUAGUGGUUUAGCACGUAGGAUUUUGAUACACAGUUUGUCAACAUUCCUGAGUCCCCGGUUCGAUCCCGGGUGAGAGAU